UGCAAACACUGUUCUUCUCGAAGAUGCUAUCCAGCGUCUUUGUGCUCUUGAGCGAAAGUUUGAAUAGCAAAGACUGCAAGAGGAACAAAGACCGCGGGAAGAGCCAUUACAUAAAAGGAUAAAGAGGGCGCACAACGUGGGCAUUGGGAAUAAGUUCGCCUCGUAACCAAGCAGUCAUGACUUAUCUGCUAGAGGAAUUGAAAACAACUUUUGCAGAUGCAGACCCUGAGUGUAUACAAGCGUGUUGCAAGACAUACUUUGAAACACUUCGGAGAAAGUACAAUUUGUCUCAGCCAGAAAAGUCCCAGCUAAGAGAUGCCAUUAAAACAGGAGCUAAAAACCGACAUUCAUCAACUUGUCUUUAAAGGGAUAGUUCACCCCAAAUUGAAAAUUCUGU